CAGAGGGGGCAAGCGUUAUUCGGAAUUAUUGGGCGUAAAGGGCGCGUAGGCGGCCUGGCAAGUGACGGGUGAAAUCCCUCGGCUUAACCGAGGAACUGCCUGUCAAACUGCUUGGCUUGAGACCGGGAGAGGUGAGUGGAAUCCCCAGUGUAGCGGUGAAAUGCGUAGAUAUUGGGGGGAACACCAGUGGCGAAGGCGGCUCACUGGACCGGUACUGACGCUGAUGCGCGAAAGCGUGGGGAGCAAACAGGAUUAGAUACCCUGGUAGUCCACGCCAUAAACGAUGAGUGCUUGGUGUAGCGGGUAUCGACCCCUGCUGUGCCGAAGUCAACACAUUAAGCACUCCGCCUGGGGAGUACGGUCGCAAGGCUG
rnacentral:rRNA from 1 species